UCUUGAACAAGCACUGUCCAAGUACCAAUGUCUUUGGCUUCCUUUCACCUUCUCCUGCAAAAGAAAUCAAUGGUUAGACUUAGGAACCCAUACAAUCUUGGGUCCUAUUUUAUGAUUAAAAGAAUAAAUUAAAUUUAUUCUAGUCCAUGCUGGCAACAUGUAGUGCAGCCUGUUUUUCUAACCUGAACCAAUUAUUUUCUUUUGGUUAGAGAAAAUUUAUUUUCCAGGUUUUGACUGUUUGAUCUACUUUUAGCAGCUACUGGACAUUCAGUGGUUAGAUAUCCAUGGUUUCCACAGAUAUAAUACAAAUCUGUAAGAUCAUUACUACCUUUGUUGAAUCCUAAACCUGCCUUUUCAUUGUGAAUUCUUUCACUCAAUUUGUGAAAAAUUCUUGAAGAAUUUGUCCACCUAUUAGCUCUUUUAAGAUCAAGUUUCAGUUUAGAGACUUCUUGACUCAGUUUGUUUAUCAUGUCAGCUGCAUUACUAUACCCUAGUUUGCACUUUUGUGAUUCAAGUUCAGCACUUUCUUGUUCUUUACUCAUGGCCUUUUUGCCAUUUUUAGUGAGAGUUAAUUUAAGGAUUUCAAACUUAAGAUAAUUAUUAGAAGAAUCAAGUUCUACAACCUGUUUCUUGAGAGUGCAAUUUUCCUUGUCAACUGUAACUUUACAAACCUUUAGUUCAAUGAGAUCAAAUUUAAGGCUUGCAAAAUUGUUAAGCAACUCAUCCCUAUCAGAAUUUAAUUCUUGGAAAUCAUCAAUUAGUGCACUUAUCAAGGAAACAAGUUUUGACUUAGAAAAUAAAUAUAGUUUUUUUCUGUAAGUUAAAGUAUGCUUACCUCAGAAGCAUCAUUUUAUUCAUCUAAGUAUGAGUAUCCAAGUGCUAUGAAUGCAGUUUCAUCAGCUUCAUCCUCAUCUGAGUCAGACCACUAAGCUACUAUCAUUGCAUGUUCCUCAUUUCUUUUGGCCUUUUUCUUCAGUUCUUUUUUAGCCCUUACUUUUUUCUAUUCUUUUUCCCAGACUAGACAGCCUUUGAUCGGAUGAUCAAUCUUUUCAUACUUGUAUCAACCAUUUGGAUUGUCAUUUGAAUAUUUCUUGCUACCUGUUCCCAUAUUAUUUUUAAAGAAUUUGCUGAAGUUCUUAGUUAUGAAGGCAACUUAUUCCUUAUUAAGUUCAAAUUCCUCAUCACUAUCAGAAGCUUCAAUGCCAAGAUUUUGUCAGGAACUGCUUGUUCUUUGGUUCCAUCAACUUCUAUUUCAUAAGUCCUUAAGUUUCCUACCAUUUCAUCCAGGGUCAUACCUGUGAAAUCCUUAUUUUCCUCCCUUGUUGCAGUUACUUUGACAUUCCACUUAGAUUUUGGCAGUACCCUCAGUACCUUUUCAACUUGUUCCUUCUCAGUGAUGAUUUUUCCCAAGGAAGUCAGCUCAUUUGUUAAGGUAGUAAGCCUAGUGAUCAUAUCAUGUAAGGAUUCAUUAUCCUUCAUCUUAAAUGCCUCACACUCAGUGAAAAUAAAAAAAAUCCUGAAUUUUCUUACCUGAGAGGUACCCUCAUGUGCAUUUACCAGUGCAUCCUAAAUUUGCUUAGCAGUGGUGCAUGUUGACACCCUGUUGUAUUCAGCAGGUCCUAAUCCACAAACGAUGAUGUUAGUAGCUUUUGUAUUUUUCUUUAAUGCCACAAAGUCAUCAGCAAUAAAUUCACUCCUUACUUUCUUGACUGGUUCACCAUCAACCAUCUUUAUUUGAAUAGUGGGACCAUCAGUAAUCCUUCCCAUAGUUCAUAAUCUUCAUCUUGGAUGAAUAUCUCCAUCCUGGCCUUCCACCAGAUAAAGUGAGAACCAUCAAAGAGUGGAGGUCUAGUAGUUGACUGACCUUCACUAUGCCCAGUAGGAGGUGCGAAAUUCAUCAUUGAUCUUUUCUUAGGUGCUAGCUUUAUUUAAGACAACUCCAUUCUGAUACCACUUGUUAGAGUGUGUGCCCUACUGAUUUUAAUAUUUUACUCUACCGUUUGCUUAUCUAUGAAACAAGUAAGCUAACGUGGUUCACAGAAGUAAAACUUGAACACAUUAUUUUUAUAUGGAAAACACCCGGCUUAAGAAAGGUGUAAAAAAACUCGAACUGUACCUCUACAGGAUUUAACCAUAACUUCACUAUAACUCUUGAGCCUCAAUAAUCAACAAAUUACAAGACUUCUUGUAAACUAGUAAUUAAAACUUUUAACUCCUACUUCUACAAAAACACUAAUCUUCCCAAGAUAAGUGUUCCCAAGUCUUCGAGUUCCCCAACUUGAAGACGUUAAUCCUAACUCAGUUUUUACUUCACUGAGACUAGAGAUUACAACUCAAUAUGACUCAAUGACCAGCUUAUUACAUAUAGUCUAUGACUCUAAGUAAAGAACCAGGUUGUUACAAUAGCUCCUUGAAGUUGUAGAACUGAUUUGUUGAUUAUUGACUAUCUUUUCAGUGCGUGAUUCCAAUAAUUGAAUGUCGUUUUUUCUAUUUAAGCCAACUCUUUAUUGAGUCCUUUAGUUGAUGUGAUUGAUUCCUUUAGUUUAUACAUUUUUCUAUCUUUAAUAGGACUCUCAGGCAGUUUUACUCCUUCAUUGCUUCCGUCUCUCUCUCCUUAGUUGAAUAGGACUUUUCUCUUCUAUCCCUUAGUCUUGUAGGAUUCCUUGAUCAACUCAACUUCUGGAUGCUGUACUUAUCCUCUCUUUAGCAUGUACUCAACUGAUAUGAUAAGUGUUGAGAGCAUGUCUGAAGAUUGUUACUUAUCCACUCCUAUUUUUACACAGUGUCAUCUUAUCAAUAAUCUUGCCUGUGACUAUUCUUCCUUCACUUGUGUGGAGCAACUUGCACAUCAUGUUUCAUUCAUAUGUCCAUCAUCAAAACUUCACAUUCCCUAACACAUAGGUUUUAAUGUUUUUAUUAAAUUUAAAGAUAUACAACCAUGUUUUUUAAAAAGGGUUUUGAUAAUAAUUGAAUUAUAUGUAUCAUAGUUUUUUUAUGGAAGUAUAUGCUGGUUUAGAUCCCCUUUAUUUGAAAUUGAAUUUUCAAUUAUAUAUAUAUAUAUAAUCACUUUAACAGAAUAGAGGUAUUUCAAAUUUGGUCGAACUAUAAAUGCACUCAACGACAAUAAAUCACACUAAAGUUUUUUAAGAAAGAGAAGUAUUUUGUUCUUCAAAAUUUUUUCUCUAUUCUUGAGAAAAAAUUUAGGUAUUUAUAGUCAUAAAGGUAUUUUUUCAUGAAGAGAAGCAAUGGUAGCAAGGUGCACCCCUUAUAAAGGUGCAACUCUUUGAAAAAGUCACAACCCAUUGAAAACGUCAUAACCAUCCUAACCAAAAAGGUACCUAUUCAAAUUGGAUUCUUUCUCUAUGUGUCUUUUUGAAAAAAUACCUAUUUAUUUUUCAUUCACAUCUCUUAAAAAUCUAAUAAAAAUCUCCUUAAAUUGAGAGAGUAAAUCACGUUUCAUCAGUUUUGAAGCACAAUAAGCGUAAAAAUUAAUAGAAAAUAAAAAAAAUCAUCUCUUUAAAUCGAAGUCUAUUGAAAACUGUAAUUCUAACUCAAAUUAUUCAUCUAUUUUUUUAUUUGUCAAGUCAAUAUCAACUAUCUCUAUUUUGUUACGGUAUUCGAGUGUUUGGAUUUUUGAGAUCAGAUAUGACUUGUAUAAUGGCCCGAUUCAUGAAAAAACAUCUUACAGAGAUUUAAUGACCGCAAUAGAUACUCAACUUAAAAUCAUAGAAAAACUUUCAUGCAAAAUAUAUUGUUCAAGAAAAUUCAACAGGAAUCAAGAUUCAUAAUAAUAUGAGUGUGAAGCUUUUUUUUUUGAAAAUUUUGAACAAGCAUCAUCCUUUGGUAUGUAUUCACUAUGUAUUAAUAAUACUGAAAUAGUAAAUGAUCUUGGGAUGUUUGAUUCAGAUACAGGUGCAAUUGAGUAUCAUGAACUUGUUGAAAUAGAAAUGCUUUUCUACAGUAUAUGAUAAUGAAUCAUUGAAUUUAUUUGAUCGCGAUAUCAACAACUUUAUAACGGAUUGCAACAACAAGAUUGUGAAGGUGAAGCAACUUUACAAGAACAAAUCAACUCUCAUUUCAGUGAUGCAAAAGUAUUUCAUCCAGCAUAGAUUUAAUUUUAGAGUUGAGAGAUUCGAUAAAAAGAGGUAUUUUUUUAAAAAUUAAUAUUUUUUGAGUGUUGAUACAUUUUAAUCUAGGUAAUUAGUUAUUUAAUUAAAGCUAGUAUUUUAUGAAUAUGGGUUACUGGAAUUUUCAUGUUCUGAAUUCUUGAUAUAUUUUUAUGAUUUGUAUUGUACAAUGAGACAGUAAAAAGGUAAUCAAAAGUGAAUUUUAUGUUUUUUGACUAAUGUUUCAUUUUUUGCUACAUAUUAAAUGUUUUUGAAUUUUUUUGAUUAUAUUGUGUUAUUUUUGAUACAUAUUUGAUUAUGCUUCAUAUUAUAUUGUAAAUGAUUCAAAUAUUUCUAUGAUUCAUAUUGUACUGUAUUAUUUUUGAUACAUAUUUGGUUAUCUUUGCAAUUAUUUUAUGUGACACUUAAUACAUAUAUGAUUCAAAAAGAAGAUGUAUAUCAUUGAUUGUGUGAAGUUAGACACAUUAUGUUAUGUAUCAAGCUAUAGAUAUGUUGUUAUAUAAUAUUUGUAGCAUUUAGUGUCCCUAAGCUAAAACAUAAUUUGAUAAAUUUUUUAGACCUAAUUUUUUGUAAGUUUUCAUAUAGAAUACUUUUUUUAUUGUGAACAUAUAUAACUCAAUAUGUCUCAGUUGUUCUUAUAUAGAGCAAUUAAUUAUGUGUUUAAUCCAUGCAGUUAUUUUUUGAGGUGUAAAUCUCAAGAUUGUAGUUGGAUCUUUCAAGAGUCAUGUAUAGAGGUAUUGGUACUUUUAAAUUAAGAAGUUUUUAUGGUAAACAUACAUGUCCAAUUAUGUUUGGCGUCUUCAAUCCAUGUUAAGCGACUGUUGUUUUUUUCAGAGGGAUAAUAGUGCCAAACUUGGAGAACCUUAAAAGGAUAAUCACACCAAGUGACAUUAUUGAUGAUAUCAAAUGAGAGCUGGAUCUAGAUAUUAACUACAUGGGGGCAUGGCACUCUAAAGAACAGGUUCUAGAGAUAUUGAAAGGUUGGCCAAAUAAUGGAUACAGAUAAAUGCCAAGACACAUAUACAUGUUAAAUUUGUGUACCAAAAUUAUACAUAAAAAAGCAUGUCACCAGAGUUCUUGUAGCUUUCCAUAGCUCUGUAUCUAUGGAUCAGAGGGUUCAAGUAUUUUAGGUAAAUUGUUGUAGUAGAUGGGAGUCACCUGAGUGGUCCAUAUAAAGAAACUUUCCUUUCAGCUAAUACACUGGAUGUGGAAGGUAUUGAUUGUUUGAUUUUUUUUUUAGUUUAAAACAUAUUUCUUGUUUUUAAUUAAGAAAUUAAAUAUAUUUAUUUUUUAUUUAUGUACUAGGACAAUAUUGUCACUUGCAUAUGCUGUAGUUGAUUCUGAAAAUAAUUCAUCUUAGACAUGAUUUUUUCAAUAGUUUAAGUGUACUUUCAGGGAGCGUGAGAAUAUGUGUGUUGUCUCAGAUCAUAAUAAAAGCAUAAUCAAGAGUGUUGAAAUAUUGUAUCCAUCUAUACUAUAUUUGCAUAGUAUUUGACAUCUUUAGGGUAAUGUGUGCACAAUUUUUAAGAAAAGUAAGGACAAAUUAAUCAACUAAUUUUUUGCUAUGUCUAAAGCAUACAGAAAAGAUGAUUUUAAUGAGUUAAUGUCUAGAGUUGAGAAGAUUAAUGUAAUACCCCGUACUUUUUCUAACUUAGUUUAUCUCCUAAUGUGUCAAGGGUUAACUUUAAAAAUGAAUAACUCUUGGUGCAUUUAGAAUUUUCCAUCUCUAGACCCACCAGUGUGUAGAUAAUUGAAUCAUCUUUCCAAUGAAACAAAUUUCUCCUUAAUCCGAUACUCGGUUGAGAAGUUAUGACAAUUUUAGUGAAAAACAGUAGAGCACCGCAUCGCGGCGAGGUGUAGAAUCGCAAUUGUCCAAUUUCCAGUGAAGAACCGCGAUUAGCCUAUGUUGCGGUGAAGUAUAAAUUAUCACUCAUCCUUUUCCAAUAGCUUACCGUGAUUGGCCAGUGUCGCUCUAGUAAUCGCGAUGGAGCAUAGCACCGCAUUGCGGUGGAAUUCAAAAUGGCACUCGCCCUUUUCCAGUGACGCAACGCGAUUAUUCUACGUCGCGCCAUGGUGUAAAAAUGCAGUCAUCCCUUUUGCAGUAAGCCACCGCGAUAAGCAGCGCGUCGCACUGAGGCCCAAAAUCGGAAUUUCUAAUUUUGAACUAAUUUUUACAAAGGGCAACCAAGUUAUUUCCCAAGGCCCCAAAUCAUGUAAAACACAAGAUCCAUCCUAUUCUAAGCAUUAUACACUCACUUUUUACAAAAUUUCUCUCCAAGAAACACUAGAGUUUCAAAUUUCAAUCCCUAAGAACGCCAAAUUUCACCAUUCUUUUUUCAAGAUAACCCAAAAUUUAAUAUUUCAGUUCAAGAACUUCAAGAAUCAAUCUUCAAGAGCACAGAUAGGAACUCAAAGUUCAAGCUUCUUCAAUAAUUCAUCAAUUAAGGUAUGUGGGGUUUUCAACAAGGAUAAUCCUUUCAUCUUUGUGCCCAAAAUUAGUUUUAAAGUUGAAUUUUAUAUGAAAUUACAUGAAUUUCAGUCUAGGAUUUAUAGUCACUCAUUACUAGUUGAAGAUUAUGAGAUUUUAAGUGAUUUAGAUGAUGAAUUGCAUGUCUACUUUCGUAUUUUCAUACGUAUGACAUUAAUUUCUAGAUUUAGAACUAAAUUAUCAAUGCUUUCAUUAUUAAGCAUGAACUUUAUGAUGAUUUGACAUGAAUUUGAUGCAUGGGUUAUUUGCCCUAGUUUGAAUAUUGACAUUUCAAGAAGAUUAUGCUUUUAAGCAUCCCGUGAUUAGAUAUAUUCAGAUUUUAAACAAUGAUUUGAUCUUUUGAUCUCAACUUAGAUAUGGAAUCCACUUUAUAGUUUCAUUAUAGUUUACAAUAAAAAGAUUCACCAGAGGUUUUCAUUAUAAACCCUUAUACUAGUUUUAAAAGUUGAUUUCCUAGAGAAUGAGCAUACAGAUUAAAGGGAGUAGUAUUUAGCACCGAGUUGGGUAUGUUCAUAUGCCUCAGAAAUACGAGACAAUAUAGAUUUAGAUUAUCAGAUUAUUCCCAUUUCUAUAUGAAUGACAGUUACAGAUGUAAUCACUUAGAUUAGGUUAUACUCCUUCACAAGAGUAUGACACCUCUUCCCAACGUGAGGUUUUCCCAUAAGGAAACUAGAUGUUAGACUCCAUGUUAUCUCAUAUGGUUUAUAUCAAUUAGAAGAACCUCUCUAUAGGGAAGAGUAAAGAAUAAUAGAAAAGCUUUUAGAAAUUAAGUGUAAAGGCUCACAAUUUUGUUACGAUAUUAUUUUAUAUAAGUCAUUAGCUACUAGAUUUCAGCUUUCAGUUGAAAGAUAUAGAGGUGAGUCUUUUUAUACUUAGCAUGUUUGAUUUGAAAAUAGAAUACCAGUACAACUUUCAGAACUAAGUGUUAUGACUCAUAAAAUUUAUACAGUAUGCUUUAUCAUUCAUGAUUCAUGAUUUAUAGCUUUCAGUUAUUCCAGCUAAUGCGAGUCAUUUAUACUUAGCAUGCAUUACUUUACAUGUUAAUACAAACAUUGAGAUAUUGUUUUACUUAUGUAUUUACCCUCAUAUACUCAGUACAUUCCAGAAGUACUAAUCCACAUAUACGUUUAUGUGAUACAUUGUCUCAUAAUGUAGGUUCAGGUGCUAAGUUUCAGCAGCAUGAGUGAUUUCAUGCAUCUCCAUCUACAUCCUGACAUUUGGUGAGUCCUCAUUGUUCGGGAACCAGUAUUAAGAAUUUUUAGUUUAUUACAGUAGUUGAUUCAGUAUUUUCAGUCAGUUCGAGUCAGCUGGGGGCUUGUCCCAGUGGCUCUCUAGUUAUUAGUAGUAGAGGCUUGUCAGACUGCUAGUUAUGAUUCAUAUUUCUAGUGUUGACUGUCCAGACUUUUAAGUCUAAUAUUUUCAGACAUCAUGUUCAGAUAAAUUUUAGCUUAACUCAGAUAGAAUUCCAUAUUUUCAAUUUGAUUAUAUAUCAAUAUUUCUUUAUUAUAAGCUUCAGAUUUAGUAAAAGACUUAUAAGGUUAGCUUAAGGCUACUCAUAGUCUUGAGCACCGUGUGACAUCUCGAGACCAUUUUUGGGGUGUUACAAACUUGGUAUUAGAGCCUAAGGUUAUAAGAGUCCUAUAAAGUCAGACAAGCCACGUCACGUAGAGUCUUAAUCAUAGGUUUGAAGCGAGCCAAAUUUAUGAGAAAAAGGCUAUGGGACCUUUUUAGGAAAUUAUCCAUUUAUUUUAUGAUCUAUCAUUCUUACAGUGUCUCUAUUUUCUUUUAACAUAUACUCUUACAUAAAAGUUGAAUAUGCCUUCUCACCGAGCUAAUGCACGCAGAAAUGAUAACCUGCCACUCCAGCCCGCUGACCCUAUAAAUGAGAAUGUAUCCAUGCUGAAUUUUGAGUUGCCUUUCAAGUGUUAGCCCAAGCUGUGACCGCCAAUGUUCAGGGAAACCAUCAAGUAACAGUCCCACUUCAGCAGAGUCGUGAUUUAGCGGCAGCCAGAAUUCAUGACUUUAUGAGAAUAAAUUCGUCUGAGUUCUUUGGUUCAAAACUAGGUGAGGACCCAUAACUUUACUUAUCCAAAUUAUUCAUGUUACUGAAGAAGAGAGUGUAGAGUUGGAAUCCUAUAAGCUAAAGGAUAUGGCGUAUGAUUGGGUGGUUAUAUGGAAGAAUGGUAGAGGUGAGAAUACAGCUUCUACGAGUUGGUUGGUAUUCCAGGAUGCGUUUCUAGACAGGUUCUUUUUAUGUAAAAUGAGAGAAACUAAGAUAGAGAAGUUUGUAAACCUGAGUUAGGGCUUGAUGAUAGUAAAGGAGUACUACCUUAAGUUCAAUCAGUUGUCUAAGUAUUCUCCUGAUAUGAUGGCUGACCCUAGGGCGAGUAUGAGUAAGUUUGUUACUGAAGUAUCUAUUUUGGUAGUCAAGAAGUGCAUGAUUACCAUGCUUAUUGGGGACAUUGAUGUUUCUAGGUUGAUGAUUCAUGCUCAAUAGAUUAAGGCAGAGAAGUUGAAAGAGAGAGAGGAAAUAAGAAGGCUAGAAUCGAGAAGUUUGAUUAUGGCCAGACAAAGUUUGGAGGAGGGAACUGUUCAUAAUUUCAGAAUCGUUCAUCUAUGCCAGCACCAUCUUCAUCCAGUGCUCCGAAUCCCAAAGCUAGGAAGGAGUAGUAGGGUAAGACUUCUAUGUCUAAAUCUCAGAAUAGUGUGAGUGAAAAACCUAGUUAUCCUCUAUGUGCUAAGUGUGGUAAGAAUUAUCUUGGUGAGCUUGUUGAAGCAAAAAGGUUGUUAUGGUUUUGGUAAGUUAGGUCAUAGAAUCAAAGAGUAUUUGCAUGCUAAGUAGGGAAGCAGAGUUGUUCGCCCCUAGACUCAGGCUACUAGAGCACUAGCUCAUUUAGGUCGCUCAGUCCCUCUUCAGGGUUCGUCAUUCAGUACUGGUAAUGGUCAGCGCCAGAAUCAGUAUUAUGUUUGACCAUCCCAUCAGGAGAAGGAGAGUUCACCGGAUGUUGUUACUAGUAUGCUUCGUGUCUUUCAUCUUGAUUCUUAUGUGUUGUUAGAUCCAGGGUCGAAUUUCUCUUAUGUGACCCCACUAGUUGCAGUAAAUUUAGAAGUAGGUCCCAAAAAGCUUCCUAAUCCCUUCUUAGUUUCUACCCUAAUGAGUGAUUCAGUUGUUGUCAAAUGAGUCUAUAGAAAUCGUCCUAUCAUUGUUCUUCAUAAGAUCAUGUUAGCAGACUUAAUAAAACUAGAUAUGGUCGACUUUGACCUUCUUCUGGACAUGGAUUGGCUUCAUUCCUUUUAUGCAUCUAUAAUGGAUUGCAACAGCAAGAUUGUCAAGGUAAAACAACUUUACAAGAACAAAUCAACUCUCAUUUCAGUAAUGAAAAAGUAUUCCAUCCAACAUAGAUUUAAUUUUAGAAUUGAGAGAUUCGACAAAAAAAGGUAUUUUUUUGAAAAUUAAUAUUUUUAAGUGUUGAUACAUUUCAAUCUAGGUAAUUAGUUAUUUAAUUGAAGCUAGUAUUUUAUGAAUAUGGGUUACUGAGAUUUUCAUGUUCUGAAUUCUUGAUACAUUUUUAUGAUUUAUAUGGUACAAUGGGACAGUGAAAAGGUAAUCAAAACUGAAUGUUAUGUUUUUUGACUAUUGUUUCAUUUUUUGCUACAUAUCAAAUGUUUCUGAACUUUUUGAUUAUAUUGUGUUAUUUUUUAUACAUAUUUGAUUAUGCUUCAUAUUAUAUUGUAUUAUGAUUCAAAUAUUUCUAUGAUUCAUAUUGUACUGUAUUAUUUUUUAUACAUAUUUGGUUAUCUUUGCAAACUAUUAUUUUAUGGGACAUUUAAUACAUAUAUGAUUCAAAAAGAAGAUGUAUAUCGUUGAUUGUGAGAAAUUUGACACAUUAUGUUAUGUAUCAAGCUAUAUAUGUUGUUAUACAAUAUUUGUAGCAUUUAGUGUCCCUGAGCUAAAACAUAAUUUGAUACAUUUUUUAGUAAUAAUUUUCUUUUUAAGUUUUCAUAUAACAACUUUUUUUUAUUGUGUAACAUAUAUAACUCAAUUUGCAUCAACUGUUCAUAUAUCGAACAAUUGAUUAUAUGUUUAAUCCAUGCAGUUUUUUUUAGGUGUAAAUCUCAAGAUUGUAGUUGUAUUUUCAAGCGUCAUUUAUACGAGGUACUGGUACUUUUAAAGAAAGAGGUUUUUAUGGUGAACAUACAUGUCCAGUUAUGUUUGGCGUCUUCAAUCCAUGUCAAGCAACUGUUGGUUUUUUCAGAGGGAUAAUAGUGCCAAAGUUGGAGAACCUUAAAAGGAUAAUCACACCAAGUGACAUUAUUGAUGAUAUCAAACGAGAACUGGAUUUGGAUAUAAGCUACAUGGGGGCAUGGCGUGCUAAAGAACUGGUUCUAUAGAUAUUGAGAGGUGGACCAUACAGAUAAAUGUCAAGACACAUAUACAUGUUAAAUUUUGUGUACCCAAAUUAUACAUAAGAAUGCAUAAGUCACCAGAGUUCUUCUGUCUUUCCGUAGCUCUGUAUCUAUGGAUCAGAGGGGUAAAGUAUUUUAGACAAAUUAUUAUAGUAGAUGGGAGUCACUUGAGUGGUUCAUAUAAGGAAAGUUUCCUUUUAGCUAAUACGCAGGAUGGGGCAAGUAUUGAUUAUUUGAUUUUUUUUAGUUUAAAACAUAUUUCUUGUUUUUAACUAAGAAAUUUAAUAAAUAUAUUUUUUAUUUAUGUACUAGGACAAUAUUGCCACUUUCAUAUGUUGUAGUUGAUUUUGAAAAUAAUUCAUUUUGGACAUGAUUUUUUCAACAGUUUAAGUGUGCUUUCAUGGAGCGUGAGAAUAUGUGUGUUGUCUCAGAUCGCCAUAAAAGCAUAAUCAAGAGUGUUGAAAUAUUGUAUCCAUCUUACUAUAUUUGCAUUGGAUUUGACAUCUUUGGGGUAAUGUGUGCACAAUUUUUAAGAAAAGUAAGGACAAAUUAAGCAACUAAUUUUUUGCUAUGACUAAAGCAUACAGAGAAGAUGAUUUUAAUGAGUUAAUGCCUAGAGUUGAGAAGAUUAAUGUAAUACCCCAUACUUUUCCUAGCUCAGUUUAUCUCCUAAUGUGUUAAGGGUUAACUUUAAAAAUGAAUAACUCUUGAUGCGUGUAAAAUUUUUCUGCUAUAGAUCCACCAGUGUGUAGAUAAUUGUAAAAUGAAUAAUGCAUAUGGUGAUUUUAGUGAAAAAUAGUAGAGCACCGCAUCGCGGUGAGGUGCAGAAUCACAGUUGUCGAAUUUUCAGUGAAGCACCGCGAUUAGCCCGUAUCGCAAUGAAGUACAAAUUCCCACUCAUCCUUUUCCAGUAGCUCACCGCGAUUGGCCAGUGUCGCCUCAGGAAUCGCGGUGGAGCAUAGCACCGCGUCGCAGUGGAGUGUAAAAUGACACUCAUUCUUUUCCAAUGAUGCAGCGCGAUUACGCCGCAUCACGCCAUGGUGCAAAAUCGUACUCGUCCCUUUUCUAGUAAGCCACCGUGAUAAGCAGCGCAUCGUGCUGAGGCCAAAAAUCAAGAUUUUUAGUUCUGAACUAAUUUUUACAAAGGGAAACUUUCUCAUUCCAAAGCCUCCAAGUCAUGUAAAACACAAGAUCAAGCCUAUUCUAAGCAUUAUACGCUCAGUUUUUACAGAAUUUCUCUCCAAGAAACCCUAGAGUUUGAUAUUUCAAUCCCUAAGAACGCCAAAUUUCACCAUUCUUUUUCCAAGAUAACCCAAAAUUUAAUGUUUCAGUUCGAGAACUUCAAGAAUCAAUCUUCAAGAGCACAAAUAGGAACUCAAAGUUCAAUCUUCUUCAAUAAUUCAUCAAUUAAGGUAUGUGGGGUUUUCAACAAGGAUAAUCCUUUCAUACCUGUGCCCAAAAUUAGUUUUAAAUUUGAAUUUUAUAUGAGAUUACAUGAAUUACAGUCUAAGAUUUAUAACCACUCAUUACUAUUUGAUGACUAAGAUUUUAAGUGAUUUAGAUGAUGAAUUGCAUGUCUACUUUCGUAUUUUCAUGCGUAUGACAUUAAUUUCCAGAUUUAGAACUGUAUUAUCAAUGCUUUCAUUAUUAAGCAUGAAUUUUAUGAUGAUUUGACAUGAAUUUGAUGCAUGGGUUACUAGCCCUUGUUUGAAUGUUGAUAUUUCAAGAAGAUUAUGCUUUUAAGCAUCCCAUGAUUAGAUAUAUUCAUAUUUUAAAUGAUGAUUUGAUCUUUUAUCUCAUCUUAGAUUUGUAGUCCACUUUACAGUUUCAUUACAGUUUACAGUAAAAAAAUUCACAAGAGGUUUUCAUUACAAACCCUUAUACUAGUUUUAAAAGUGGAUUUCCUACAGAAUGAGCAUACAGAUUAAAGAGAGUAGUAUUUAGCACCGAGUUCACAUGCCCCAGAACUAUAAGCCAAUAUAGGUUUAGAUUAUCAAAUUAUUUCCUUUUCUAUAUGGAUGACAGUUAUAGAUAUGAUUACUUAGAUUAGGUUAUACUCCCUGGCAAGAGUAUGACACCUUUCCCCAACAUGAGGUUUUCCAAUAAAAAAACUAGACGUUGGACUUCAUGUUAGCUUACAUAGUUUAUGUCAGCUAGAAAAACCUCCCUACAGAAAAGAGUAAAGAAUAACAGAAAAGCUUUUAGAAACUAAGUGUAAAGCCUCACGAUUUUGUUCAACUAUUGUUUUAUAUAAGUCAUUAGCUACUAGAUUUCAGCUUUUAGUUUACAGAUACAGAGGUGAGUCCUUUUACACUGAGCAUGUGUGAUUUGAAAAUAAAAUACCAGUACAGCUUUCAGAACUAAGUGUUAUGACUCAUAAGAUUUAUACAGUAUGUUUUAUCUUUCAUGAUUCAUGAUUUAUAGCUUUCAGUUAUUCCAGCCAAUGUGAGUCAUUUAUACUUAGCAUGCAUUACUUUACAAGUUUAUAUGAAUAUUGAGAUAUUACUUUACUUAUGCAUUCACCCCCAUAUACUCAGUACAUUCCAGAAGUACUAAUCCACAUAUACAUUUAUGUGAUACAUUGUCUCAUAAUGUAGGUUCAGGUGCUAAGUUUCAGCAGCAUGAGUGUUUUCGUGCAUCUCCAUCUACAUCCCGACAUUUGGUGAGUCCUCAUUGUUCGGAAACCAGUUAUUAAGAAUUUUCAGUUUAUUACAGUAGUUGAUUCAGUAUUUUCAGUCAGUUCGAGUCAGUUGGGGGCUUUCCCCAGUGGCUCUCUAGUUAUUAGUAGUAGAGGCUUGUAAGAAUGCUAGUUAUGAUUCAUAUUUCUAGUGUUGACUGUCCAGACUUUUAAGUCUAAUAUUUUCAGACAUCAUGUUCAGAAAAAUUUCAGCUUAACUUUGACAGAAUUUCAUAUUUUAGAUUUGAUGAUAUAUCUAUAUUUCUUUAUUAUAUGCUUUAGAUUUAGUUGGAGGCUUACAGAGUUAGCUUGAGGCUACUCAUAGUCUUGAGCACCGUGUGACAUCUCAAAACCCAUUUUUUGGGCUUUAUAAGUAAUUAUAGAGUGAACGAUUAUUUCAUAGAUGCAAGAUACGAAAAGUGUGCAAGAGUGAAUGUUCCAUAAAUAAGGGGAGAAUAAUGACAUCUAAUAUAGCAGAAUAUAUCAACUCACAUCUUUUGGAGGCACGUAGCUGUUAAUUUAGGAUUUCUAGAAUAACUAAGAAUCUUAUUUAAUUCUUGAAACUGCAAAAAUAAAGAUAAGCCAAAUUUUCUUUUAGAGAAAUCAUUGGGAGACAGGUUCAGAAAUUUUGUAUACAAACAAAACAAACUCAUGCGUAUGAUGAAGGAAGAUGAUAUGUUGUUCGUUUGGAUGAUCGAAUAUGCAACUGUGGUUGAUUUUAGCCUAAUGAGAUUUCAUGUUUGCUUGUUAUUGUUGUAUUGAAAAUCAAGUAUGUGAAUGAAAUGAAGCCAUAUUGUUGGAUUACUAUAAAAAAAACUCUUGUCAAGAUUUAUGAAAUGCCUAUUUGUUCGAUGCCGGAUAAGAAGGAUUGAGAUGUUCUAGUGAACGCUUUAGAAGAUGUGGUAUUGCCUUCGCAAUAUAGAAGACCACCUUGAAAACUAAAUAAAGGAAGGCACACGAAAAUUAGUGAAAUGUUUGCCUUAAACUCAAAUUGUUGCAGAAAGUGUAGGCGUGAAGGCAACAAAUGACGCACCUGCAACUACUUUUUAAAGAAAAUGUGAUAUUUUUUUAUUUUUGAAUCAUAUCUUUGAAAUUUAUAUGAAAUUUCUUAUUGUGAAUAUUAUUUAUAGUUUUAAUUCCUCAAUAAUAUUUAAAUUUGCAAAUGAUAGUUAUCCGUAAUUUGUUCAGUUAUACUAACUAUAUGUUUAAAUAGCUUUGUGAAAAAUACGUGUUAGUGUUGAAACUCAUUACUUGUUAAGGAUGUUUAAUGAUUCAUAUAUAUUUAAUGAUAGUUUUUAAUUGUUAAGGAUAUAUUAUAUUUAAUUCAUAUGAUUGAUACGUAUCAUUCAACUAUUUCAUGAACUACAAAGAUGCUGAUACUUAUUUUUUAAUAAAAACUGGGAAGUAACUGAUGAACUGUAAUUGUAAUUAUACAUAUGUUGGAAUGAUAUUAGUGAUGUAGCAAGAGAACUAAACCUGAUACAUAUUGUAUUUCAUAUAUGUUUCCACAUAUGUUUGACGCAUAUAUUUGACACAUAUAAUUCCGGUAAAUAGAAAACUGCAAAGUUAUUGAUGCAUAUCAGUAGCAUCCAAUUAACUAAAUGAACUGAAAUUUUAAUGAUGUAUAUUAUCCAAUGCUAUAAAUCAAAGUAACUGAUUAACUUAAAUUGUAGUGAUACAUAUAUGUCAUACAUAACAAUUGAAGUUACAGGUUAACCCAAAAACUGCAUGUAUACAUAUGUAAUAUACAUAUGUAGUGAAGUUACUACUGAAGUGAAAAAAUAGCAACUUUAACAUAGUAAUAAAUAAAAAUAUAAAAAAUAUAUUAUAAUAAAUAAAGUACUAAUUGUCAUUAAUAGUAAUGACAAAACACAAUUUAAUUGUGCAAUAAAAAAAGAAAACAUGAACGCAAGUAGCCACAAUCCUAUCAUCAUAAUUCUAUCAAUACAAAACAACAAAAAAUGUUGUCAACAUCAUAACAAAACUAUUAGAACUAUAAAUACUCAAUAUUUAUCAAAACCUACUUGUCCGAAUGAAUGCAUGUGCAUUUAGGCUUAAACGGAUCUUGAUUGUCGUUAAUAUAUUCAUUCAUUGCCUUGUCUAAUUCAUAAUUCCGUAAGAUCAAAGCAUAUCUAGUUCUAUAAAGUGUAGUGUUUAAUUAUGAAGCAGGUAUCUCAAUUCCAUUACUUAGAUAUUUAGCAUAAGCUGUCACAAAGAGUCCAUAAUCCUUGAUAAUAUAUACGUAUAUCAAUGUUAUUUAAUGUAGAUUACUUAUAUAAAAAAUAUUAAAGUGAGUAAUUUUGAUACAUACAGUGUGUCGCUUGACUGUUGGACAAUACCAUCAACAUACUGAAUCUGAAAUGCAUCUUGAUCAGCCUUUUCAUUGUAUGCUACAACUUGUGACCAAUCUGUUCAUUCCUUCUUCUAAAAAACCUAGUCAUGGUCAAAUAAGUAGGAAUCAUUGACGCAAGUUGAAUUAUUUUCAUUGAAUAAUUUCUGUGUCCUUUCGUUGAGUCAUAGGCAUGAAUGCACCUCUCCUUAAGAAUGAAAACUAUUAAUACCCAACGAAAAGCCUCUUGACAGUUUACUGAAAUGUAAACUUGAUCUACUAAAUGUGAUGCCAGUUUGGUUGGAAUGCACAAACUUUGGACAAUAAAAUAAAUUGAUGCCUUUUGCAAUGCAAUAUGUUUUAAGCGGGAGUAAUCAUAUUUAGAACUAUGUUUUAACUUCUCUGAUGGUUAACGAUGAUAUCAAAUAUAUGUGUCAUGUACAUACGUAAUGAACCGAUAAUUAGCAAUGGUAUAUCUAUAAUUCUUGAUGUUCUUGACUUUUUGGACAGGUAAUAAAAUACUACAUCAACAUGUUGUAUAUGUAAAAAACUAUAUUUCUCAAUUCUCAUUCCAAACUUUGAUUUAUGCAUCAUUAUGUUUAAAAAGUAUAACCAUCAAACAAAUUAAAAUAUAUGCAUAAGCUGAAAUUAGAUCAACUGUAAAGGCAGAUAUUUUAAGCUAAUUUUUCAAUAACUUAAUGAUACUCAAUUUAAACAUUUAGCAUAACUAUAAAAUAGCUAUAAAUAUUAAUUGAUACAUAUCACUGAAAUGUAAAAACAUUCAAUUUUGUAUGUGUAAUCUUGAAGAUGUAAUCAUCUGAAAAUACAUUUUAAUAUUGAUGUAUGUUUACUGUUUGAUACAUAUUAUUAUAUAUGUAUCAAGCACAUAUGUUUUGAUACCAAACACAUAUUAUAUGUAUGAAAGAUAUACAUAAUCUCCAAAUAAAUCAACUGUAAAUUCAAUUAAUUCAAGCCAAUAUUUCAGUAGAUUAACAAUAUGGAAUUUAAGCAUGUAGUGUAAUUAUAAAAUGUAUUUUACUGUUUGAUUCAUAUAUUAUCAUAUAUGUAUUAAAUCCACAUACUUUGGUCUAAAAUUCUAUAUAAAGCAAAUGAGUGUAUGCAUAAUCAUAAAAUUUGGUGAAUUAUUUUCACAUUUCAAUUAAAAUAUAGCAUAAGCAUAAUAAUGAUGCAGUUAAACAUGUAUAACAAGAAUAUACUAAUAGGUAAUCUAGUUUGAUACAUAUCUUUGAUAGUUAAGCAUUUGAAUUGCAGAGUCCAAGACUAUAACUCAUCAUUCCAACAUGAAGAAGACUGGUACAUUCUAUAAAAUUAGUUCUUCUUCUUUGGACUUGCAACUACAAAAUCAAACUUCAGAUUAAGCAAAACAUGUUUGGCCUUGUAGUCCUCAUUCUAGUCUUUCCUUAAUGAAUAUUACAAUUUGUUAUAUAUAAUUAAAGUACAUUAAAUUAUCUAAAGAGACAUGAAACUAAGGUUACCUGUUAGUGCGUGUCAGCAGCAACCCCUCAGAUAUCCUCAGUUUGAAUUUUGACAACAAUGAUGUUGGAUGUGGUCCAAUAAUUUUAUGACCUUCAAAAGGAUACAUCAUCUAUUAAUUAGUGUGAAUUACUUUUUUUUCUUUUGAACUAGAAUCAAAUGUAGUAAUGUAUGAAGGCUAAAGUAACUUUGAACGCGGCCUGUUCCUUUAGAUUAUUGUGUGAUGCUCAUAUAAUUUUAUAAUAUUAAAAUGAAAAAUUUGAGUCAUGCUUGCAAUAAAGUAUCACUUACGAAAAACUGUCUAUCAGUAUUAUGUAGGGUGACUGCAUUCAAUGGUGCAACAUUCAAAGCCAAAGUCGUAAAAUCAUACAUACAUCAAUAACAUUAGUUUAUGAUAAAUUCUACACAAAAUCAAUCCCAUUGUCUCAUUGAAUAUAAUCAUGUCAGGACUGUUAUCAUAUGAAAAAAUAUUUAGAUAUGCUAUUUAAUUCACCAGAUAAUAUAUCAAUUUAUAAAAUACUCUUUUUUAAGAUAUCAAAUUUAUUGACCUGUUGAUUGUCUGAUUGUUUUUUUAUUUGAGCUUUAAAUUUAUCAGUUAAAUUCUUCCCAAAAUCAGUCCCAUCCUUCUAAUUAUUUAAAUACAGUCACGAACGUUGUCAUACAAAAUAUUAUUUAAAUGUUCAAUUUGAUUCAUCUGAUAACAUACGAAGUUAUAGAAGAAUGGCUAUUUAAUGUAUCAAAUUUAUUUAUCUGCUAGUCGCCUAAUUCUUCUUUGAUCUGAGCUUUACUUGUUUCUCCUGCUUUAUUCACAACAUAAUCAUAUUGAAAGUACGUUUUGUCAUACAAGUGACCCUCAUCUCUUUUAUCAUAUUUACCGUCAUCAAUUUCAAUAAUUGAAGAUUCAGAAGACUAAAAACAUAAUAAACAACAUAAGAUUAAUUUGUAGGAAACCUAAAACAUUGUAAGUACCAUUUUAAAAAAUGUGAAGAAAUAUUUACUUUCAAAAUAUAUUAUUUUGGAAGAAAUUCUUUCACAAACGGUACUAUGUUCAAUGCUUGAAAAAUUAUAUUCUCUGAGAUUGGUCUCUCUAUUAGAGCUUUGACAAUAUCCUUAUAGUGAUUUUUCAUUAAUGAUUGAAUCUUACUGAAUUUCAUGCCGACCUAUGAUAAAACAAAAUAAUGAAUGCAUAAGGUGUAUUUUAAUUAAGUAAGAAACAUAAAAGACUUUAUAAUAUUACUGCAUGUUUAGUGUUUGAUACAUAAAAUUAGAUAUGUAUCAAACACAUAUAUUAGUAUAUUGUAUUAAAAAGUUAGCACUGAUUGGUACAUAUAUGUAAUAACCAUGCUUAUUCCUAGCUAGAAAUUAUCUCAAGGAUGCUAGUACUUACUUUGAAAUAUAAAUCUAUUUUUAUACCAGUGGUGUUUUUGAGAUUUCUACUUUCUAUCACUUGGAAAAUUGAGAUAGAUUUUUAACGAUAUCAAUUUUGUUCAAAUCCAACACUAGACGAGGAAGUUAUAGAUGUUUUUCUCAGAACUGACCGAAACGCCCAAGUGCGACGUCCAAGUUGACGGACCGCCAAACAAGUGACGGGCAACCACUUGGACUGUCACUGCUAAGGCAGUAGGGCCAUGUUCUGGAUAAAGAUUGACGGAUGAGUUGACAGACUGUCGAAUUUUUGAUGAACCGUCAUCCAGGCCAUCAACUCUUAUCCAGUGAACCCCAUUUUUGGUCCACAUAUGACGGUAGAACUAACGGACCGUCAGUUAGGUCGUCACACGCCACGUUCAGUUUAUUUUUAGGCCAUUUUAAUAGGGGUAUUCUGGUCACUUACCAGUCGCCUAUAUAUACCCAGAUAAGAACGAAUUCAGCCAUAUUGCUCAUUAUUAUUUCACAAACAAAAACUAGGGUUUCUCUCUAAAUUUAAUCUCCAAGAACAAGAUCCAAUCUUCUUGAAAAAUCAAAGGAUUUCAAAUCCUUCAAGUUCAAAAACAUCAAGAACCUUGAGUCAAGUAUGCGUAGUGUUUAUCUAUGGAUCCAUUUCAUUCAUAGAGCUCAAGAACCAUAUUUUAAAUAUUAUUUUGUGAUUGUCUUGUUGUGAUAUGAGCAUGUACAUAUUGAUGAUUGUUGUUUAAGUUUCACGAAGAUGUCUAAAGGUGUUUUCAUGAAGUAUAUGUGUUUGUUAGUUGAAACCCAUAAUCUUUAUGUGGCUUAAUAUGGUGAAAUUCAUGAACACACCUAAGCUAAAAGAAUGCAUACAAAGUGUUUGAUAAUAUGCCUAGGAUGAUAGAAUUUAUAUCCCAUGAUUUAAUAGGUCUUAACUGACAAGUCCAUGCUCUAUGCUUUACUAUUUCCCAUGAAUUCUAUGCGAGUGAUAUAUGUUGUUGUUGUGAUAUGGAUUGACCAUGAUAUUGAAGUUAUGCAAGUAUAUACAUGUAGUAUGAAUUUCCCUCUCAUGUGUAAGAUGUUGAGAACUAUGCUUAGUGUGAAAUCCCCUACUUAUGAUAUUGUAAAUUGUGGACUCUACUCUUACGAUCAAGUCAGUCAUGUGUGUUAGUUUCCUUCCAUCGAGUACUGAGGGUACUUGUACCUGAAAAAUAUAGUUGUGUGCCUAGAUCCAUGUCAUGUUAUCAUGAUAAUCUCAGUCAAGCCAUGAUCUAUAGAACUCAGUCAGUCAUGUGACUCAGGAAAUCUCAGAAAUCUCAUGAUCUCAGUUAAUUCUUAGAUAGUAGUACUAUUUUAUCAGUCAAUGGAAAUCAGUUACUCAGUUCAUGUAUAGUCAGUUAAAUCAAGUUUAAUUUCUUCUUAUGGGAGUAGAAGUUAUCACCGAGUGAAACUAAGGAUGGAAACUCACCUGCCAGUUUAGGGUGUGAUUCUUAGCAGUCAUCCUUGUGUUCCAGAACUACAUUGCCAGCGUAGGUUGAUACAUUUUAACCUGUUAGAUUAGGGUUGAUGAGGUGUCUUAACCUGUCAGCUUAGGGUUCCCACCCAUUCUCAUUUUUGAGUACCUUCCAGAUAAGGGUCACUCAAGCUAUCCUUACCAGUGGCACUGUAUUGACACCCUUCCAGCCAGGGCAGAGAUUAGACCCCAACUUAGCUAUAUGCAUCAUUGGGGCAUGUCAGUUAAACAACUACCUCCCAUAGUUUCAGUCCCAGUCUCAGUAAAAGAACUCAGAUAGUUCUUCAGAUUUCAGUGUUCCAGGACUUUCAGAUACAGUCAAUUCAGUUACAAUACGAAACUCAGGUAGUUCCAUCAGAUUCAGGACUGUCAGACAUAGCCACCCGUGUUAUCAUGAUUCCAGUAUUAUUCAUGUUAGAAAUUAGUAAACCAUGUAUUAGUGUACAGAUCUAAUUAUGAAAUAUUCACGGUUCCAGUUAAUAUAUAUGCAUGUUUGCACUCUCACGUUCAUAUCAGUUAGUCAGUUAACAUCGUUCAUGUAUGUAAACCCUUGCAUUUAGCCAACCUCACUCGUAUACUCAGUAGUCCCAAUUGUACUGACACAUUUGCAUUAUAUUGCUUUCUUUUAUGUUACACCAUAGGUUCACAGACAUGAGUUCCAGAUCAGCAGUAGUAGUAGCAUUCCAAUCGCAGAGUUGCAGUGAGACCUCAUCCAUUCAAGGACGAUAUUAUUUUAUUUCAUUUAUUAUUUCAAUUCAGUUUUGCUGGACGGAGUUAGUUAGAGACAUGUUCCUUCAACUCCUUAUUCAGACAGUAUUUAGAGGCUUUUAGAUUUAGCUCAAAUUUGAUUCAGAUUUCAGUUGUUUUGGGUAUUUGUUACCCCAUAUGGAUGUUAUGAUUUGUCGGAUAUUUUGUUUAGUUGAACCUUAUGGCCUAUUAUUCAUGUUUUACACAUUAUUACAUCAUAUAUUAUAGUAUAUAGGUACAGAUAUUAGUGAUGGGUUAGUUGUGGUCCCUCAAGAUCAUGGGCACCCUGUAGCGAUCCAGUUCAAAAAACUAGGGCAUUACAAACUUAGUAUCAGAGCCUAAGGUUCAAUAGAGUUCUAGGAAGUCUGAAACCCGCAUCUAGUAGAGUUUUGUACAUGGGUGUGUUGCGUACCACAUUUAUGUGCAAGAGGCUAUAAGAUGUUUUAGGAACAGUUUCCCUUCUUUGGGUAUUUAUUCCAAAGCUCCUUUCGGCGAACAUGUUUCUCAUGCAGAGUUUAGGGCCACAUUGACCACACUUGCUCAGUCUGUGGCUGCCCAAAAUGAAUGGCCACCAAUUAUUUUGGCCAAGUCAGUUGCAACUAGGAUUCGAGACUUCGUCCAAAUGAACCCUCCAUCUUUCUUCAGGUGUAAGUCUGAUGAAGACCUUCAGGAAUUCAUUGACUAAGUCCAGAAGGUCAUAGACAUCAUGGGAGUUACUUCUUAUCAGAGUUUCGAUUUAUCUGCCUACCAGUUAUAGAAUGUCGCUCACACUUGGUGCAAAUAGUAGAAGUCUGAGAGGUUUGAUGAUGCAGGUCCUAUAGAGUGGGAGAAAUUUGUCACGACUUUUUUAGAUAGAUUCUUUCCCCAAGAGCUGAGGAAGGCAAAAGUUCUAGAGUUCAUCAACCUCGGGCAGGGAAAUAUGAUGGUUAAAGAGUAUUCUCUUAGAUUUACUCAGCUAUCCAGAUAUGACCCUUAUGUGGUUGCAGAUAACAUGGCUAAGAUAAGCAAGUUUGUGUCAGGGGUGAAUGAUAGCGUGGUAAAUAAGUGUAGGUCUGCAAUGUUGAACAGUGAUAUGACUUUAGCCAGGCUCAUGACUCAUGCUCAAAAAAUAGAGGAGUAGAAUAUUAGGACUAGGGAGAGGCAGAACAAGAGAGCAAGGUCAAGCAGUUUCGGUUUUGUUCAACCAAAAUCAGAAGGAGAAAACCGUUCGCAAUUUUGUCCUAAGCCAGUAGUUCCAGCUCCUUCCUCCACCAGUGCCCCAGUACCAAAAUUCAAAGAUAGAAAAAGAUAUCGAGCACCAGGCUCUAAGUUUAAGGGUAGUAUCAGUAGUGCUCGAACUAAUCCUCUAUGUCAGACUUGUGGUAAAAACCACAAGGGUACCUAUAGAGAUGGUAGUGAUGUAUAUUUAGGUUGUGGAAAGCCAGGACACAGGGUUAAAGAGGGUUCGCAGUCAGGUCUGCAAGGUCAAUAGAAUCAUUCCACAGCCCAUUUCGGUCACCCAAAUCAACAGGGUGCCACUUCCAGUGCUACUAGUGGGCAACGCCCAAACAGACUCUAUGCUCUUCAGAACCAAUAGGAUCAGGAAAAUUCUCCUGAUGUCAUCCCUGGUACAUUACAGAUUUUCCAUGUUCAUGUUUAUGCUUUGCUAGAUCCAGGUGCAUCCUUGUCUUUUGUUACUCCUUAUAUAGAAGGCAAUUUUAUAAUCAGUCCUAAAAUUUUAGCAGAGCCCUUUUCAUUCUCUACCCCAUUGGGUAAAACCAUCAUAGCUCGAUGGGUAUACAGGAACUUCCCGAUUAUGAUAUUUCAGAAAUUCACUUCAAUAAAUUUAGUUAAGUUAGAGAUGACUGAUUUUUGAUGUCAUUCUCGACAUGGAUUGGCUUCAUUCCUGGUAUGCCAUAGUCGACUACAGAAACAGGAUAGUUCAGCUUCAGUUCCCGAAUGAGCCCAUCCUAGAAUGGAAGGGUAGUACUUUAUCUUUUAGGGGUCAGCUUAUUUCCUACCUUCGAGUAAGGAAAAUGAUUUCUAAGGUGUGUGUAUCAUCUGGGGCAUGUUAAAAUUCCAAUUCUGAAUCUCCUAGUUUUGAAUCAGUCCCAGUUGUAAAUGAGUAUUCAGACAUGUUUCCCGAAGAUCUUCCAAACAUUCCUCCCAAAGAGAAAUAGACUUCGGCAUUGACCUUAUUCCAGAUACUCAUCCUAUUUCUAUGCUGUCAUACGGAAUGGCACCAGCAGAAAUCAAGGAACUGAAAGAUCAGUUGAAGGAUCUUUAGGAUAAGGGAUUCAUCAAGCCUAGUGUAUCCCCAUGGGGUGCACCAGUCUUAUUCAUACGCAAGAAAGACAGUUCUCUAAGGAUGUUAUUGAUUACGGUCAGGUCAACAAAGUUACGGUCAAGAACAAGCAUCCUCUUCCCAAAAUAGAUGACUUGUGUGACCAACUUCAGGGUGCCAGUUAUUUAUCCAAAAUAGACCUCAGAUCAGGCUACCAUCAGCUUAGAGUUAGAGAAUAUUACAUCCCGAAGAUAGCUUUCUAUACUCAGUAUGGUCACUUCAAGUUUCUAGUUAUGUCCUUUGGUCUUACUAAAGACCCAACCACUUUCAUGGACUUGAUGAGCUGUGUGUUCAAGAAAUACUUGGACAUAUUUGUCAUAGUCUUCAUAGAUGAUAUCCUGGUCUAUUCUCGCACAGAGCAUGAUCAUUCAAACCAUCUCAGGAUUGUUCUUUAGACUCUCAGAGAUUACCAGCUAUUCGCUAAAUUUAGUAAGUGCGAGUUUUGGCUAAGAUUAGUAGCAUUCCUUAGCCAUAUUAUUUCUGGUGAUGGCAUUAGAGUAGAUCCUCAAAAGACCGAAGUGGUAAGAAAUUGGCCUUGCUUCGUCUCUCCAUCAGAUAUCAGGAGUUUUUAGGGAUUGACUGGCUAUUAUAGAUGGUUUGUUGAGGGAUUUUCUUCUAUUACAUCCCCCAUGUCUAGAUUGACUCAGAAGAAGGUCAAGUUUCAGUGGUUAGAUCCUUGUGAGAAGAGUUUUCAAGAGUUGAAGACUUAACUCACCUCAGCUCUAGUUCUAGCUCUUCCAGAUGGUUCAGACGAUUUUGUAGUCUAUUGUGAUGCAUCCAGAGUGGUUCUAGGUUAUUUUCUCAUGCAACAUGGUAAGGUCAUAGCCUACACCUCUAGACAGUUAAAGUCCCAUGAGAAAAAUUAUCCUACUCAUGAUCUUGAGUUAGCAGCUGUAGUAUUUGCCUGGAAGAUUUGGAGGCAUUAUCUAUACGGAGUUCAUGUAGAUAUCUUCACAGAUCAUAAGAGUCUUUAGUAUGUCUUUUCUCAGAAAGAUCUCAAUCUUCAUCAGAGAAGGUGGUUAGAGCUCUUAAAAGAUUAUGACAUGAGUGCCCUUUAUCAUCUAGGCAAGGCCAAUGUUGUGGCCGACGCUCUCAGUAGACUCUCUAUAGGUAGUGUUUCUCAUGUUGAGGAUAGCAAAAAGAAGAUAGCUUAGUAAAUCUAUCAGCUCGCCAGACUAGGUAUUCACUUACUCAAUUCUUUGGAGGGUGGUGUAUGUGUUCAGAGUAGUUCAGAGUUAUCUCUAGUUUUUGAGGUAAAAGAAAAGCAAGACAGGGAUCCUAGCCUUGUCAAGCUAAAAGAUUCAGUUAUGAAUCAGAGAGUAGAGGUUUUCUCCCAAGGGGGAGAUAGGGUUCUUCAUUGUCAGGGUCGUCUGUGCAUUCCAGGUGUAGAUGAAUUAAAGCAGCGAAUUCUUGUAGAAGGGCAUGGUGCGCGAUACUCUAUUCAUCCAGGGGCCACUAAGAUGUACUGCGACCUGCGGGAAAUCUAUUGGCGGAGUGGGAUGAAGAGAGAUAUUACAGAGUUUGUGCCUAAGUGCUCUACAUGUCAGCUAGUUAAGAUAGAGUAUCAGAAGCCUAGUGGACCCAUAUAGGAGUUCACCAUUCCUACUUGGAAGUGGGAAGAGGUGAACAUGGACUUCGUGAUAGGUUUGUCUCGAACUCGUCAUCAGCCCAAUUCAGUUUGGGUUAUUAUAGAUAGGAUGACCAAGUCAGCUCAUUUCCUUCUAGUUCAUACCUCUUAUUCAGUCGAGGAUUACACCAAACUCUAUAUCAAGUAAUUGGUUAGAUUACACGGUGUUUCAUUAUCUAUUAUUUUAGACAGAGGUACCUAGUUCACCUCUCACUUCUGGAAAAUAUUCCAAAAGGGACUUGAUACCCAAGUCCAUCUCAGUACAGCCUUUCAUCCUCAGACAGAUGGUCAAGCAAAAAGGACCAUUCAGACUCUUAAAGAUAUGCUGAGGGCGUGUGCAAUUGAUUUCAAGGGAAGUUGGGAUAACCACUUACCUUUGAUUGAGUUUGCAUACAACAAUAACUAUCAUUCCAGUAUUAAAAUGGCUUCAGUUGAAGAUUUCUAUGGCAGGAUGUGUAGAUCUCUAAUUGGUUGGUUUGAAGUUAGUGAGGCCUCAGUCAUAGGUCCUGACUUGGUUUUCAACGCCUUAGAGAAAGUUCAGUUGAUCAGAGAGAGACUCCAGGCUACUCAGAUCCGAUAGAAGUCUUACGCUGAUGUUCAUAGAAAGGAUCUCGAGUCAAGUUCAAUGACUAUGUCUAUCUCAAGAUCUCUCCCAUGAAGGAAGUGAAGAGGUUCGGUAAGAAAGUGAAACUCAGUCCCCGCUAUGUCCGUCCCUUCAUGAUUCUCAGUCAUUUAGGCAAGGUAACUUAUGAGCUCGAAUUACCUUCAAAUUUAGCCUCAGUUUAUCCGGUAUUCCAUGAAUCCUUGCUCAAGAAGUGCUAGGCAACCCAGCAGUUGUAGUCCCUAUUCAGAGCAUUGAUGUUUAGAACAGUCUCUCUUAUGAUGAAAUUCCAGUCGAAAUCUUAGACUAUCAAACUCGUCGAUUGAGAAACAAAGAGGUCCCUCUAUUUAAGGUUCUUUGCCAAAAUCAGUUCAUCGAGGGAGCUACUUGGGAAGCAGAAGUAGAUAUGUGUAGUAAGUAUCCUCACCUCUUCUCCGCCAAUUCAGAUCAAGCUUAAGGUAAUAGUUCUCCUUAAGUUUAUUCAGUUUCAUGUUCACAUUCCCAUUAUAAAAUUUGUAUAUACUACCAUUGCAUACUCAGUCAUGCAUUCAUGUACCAGUUCAGUUAUAAACUCAUGCAUCUGCUAUGGAUUCUCAUCUCGAGGAACUUCAGUUAUGAGAAACCUCAGUCACGUAUUCAUGUAUUAGUUAGCCAUGCAUCAGAUAUGCAUGAGUUCAGUAUAUUUAGUAUGUCAGUCAUGAAGCCAUGUCUCAGUCACUUAUUUUUCAGUUCAUGUUCAUUUAUUAUUUUCCUUCUUAGUCAGUCUCAUUCGAGGAUGAAUGUUCUCAAGGGGGAGAUAUUGUAAUACCCGUGCUUAUUCCUAGCUAGAAAUCAUCUCAAGGAUGCUAGUACAUACUUUGAAAUACAAAUCUAUUUUUGUACCCAUGGUAUUUUUGAGAUUUCUACUUUCUAUCAUGUGAGAAAUUGAGUUAGGUUUCUAACGAUACCAAUUUUGUCCAAAUCCAACACCAGAUGAGGAAGUUAUGGAUGUUUUACUCAAAACCGACUGAAAUGCCCAAGUGCAACGACCAAGUUGACGGACCACCACUUUGACCAUCACAGCUAAGGUAGUAGGGCCAUGUUCUGGAUAAGGAUUGACAGAUGAGUUAAUGAACUGUCAGAUUUUUGAUAGACCGUCAUCCAGGCCGUCAACUCUACGUAUGACGGUCAAAAUGAUGGACCAUCAAGUUUUUGAAGGACCGUCAGUCGGGUCGUCACACGCCACGUUUAGUUUAUUUUCAGGCCAUUUUAAUAGGGGUAUUCUGGUCACUUACCACUCAACUAUAUAUACCCAGAUGAGUCCGAAUUCAGCCAUUUUGCUCAUUAUUAUUUCAUAAAAAAAAACUAGAGUUUCUCUCUAAAUUUAAUCUCCAAGAACAAGACCUAAUCUCUUCAAAAAUCAAAGAAUUUCAAAUCUUCAAGUUCAAAAACAUCAAGAACCUUGAGUCAGGUAUGCGUAGUGUUCAUCUAUCGAUCCAUUUCGUUCAUAGAGCUCAAGAAUCAUGUUUUAAAUAUUAUUUUGUGAUUGUCUUGUUGUGAUAUAAGCAUGUACAUGUUGAUGAUUGUUGCUUAAGUUUCAAGAUGAUAUCUAAAGGUGUUUUCAUAAAGUAUAUGUGUUUGUUAGUUGAAACCUAUGAUCUUUAUAUGGCUUAAUAUGGUCGAAUUCAUGAACACACCUAAGCUAAAAGAAUGCAUUAAAAGUGUUUGAUAAUAUGCCUAGGAUGAUAGAAUUCAUGUCCCAUGAUUUAAUUGUGCUUAAAUGACAAGUCUAUGCUCUAUGUUUUACGAUAUCCCAUAAAUUCCAUGUGAGUGAUAUGCAUUAUUGUUGUGAUAUAGAUUGACCAUGAUAUUGAAGCUAUGCAAGUAUAUAUAUGUUGUAUGAAUUUCCCUCCCAUGAUGUUGAGAACUAUGCUUAGUGUGAAAUCCCCUACUUAUGAUCUUGUAAAUUAUGGACUCUACUCUUACGAUCAAGUCAGUCAUGUGUGUCAGUUUCCUUCCAUCGAGUCCUGGGGGUACUUCUACCCGAAAAAUAUAGCUGUGCGCCUAGAGCCAUGUCAUUUUAUCACUAUAAUCUCAGUCAAGCCAUGAUCUAUAGAACUCAAUUAGUCAUGUGACUCAGAAAAUCUCAGAAAUCUCAUGAUCUCAGUUAAUUCUCAGAUAGUAGUGCUAUUCCGUCAGUCAACAGAAGUCAGUUACUCAGUCUAUGUACAGUCAGUUAAAUCAUGUUCAGUAUUUUCAGAUGGGAGUAGGAUGGGAACUCACCUGCCAGUUUAGGGUGUGAUUCUUAGCAGUCAUGCUUGGGUUCCAGAACUACAUAGCCAACGUAGGUUGAGACAUCUUAACUUGUUAGAUUAGGGUUGAUGAGGUGGCUUAACCUGUCAGUUUAGGGUUCCCACCAUUCUCGUUUUUGAGUACCUGCUAGAUAAGGGUCACUCAUAUUUGUCCUUACCAGUGGCGAGGUAUUAACACCCUUCCAGUUGGGGCAGAGAUUGGACCCCAACUUAUCUAUAUGCUUCAUUGGGGCAUGUCAGUUAAACAACUACCUCCCACAGUUUCAGUCCCAGUCUCAGUAAAAGAACUUAGAUAGUUCUUUAAAUUUUAGUAUUUCAGGACUGUCAGAUACAGUCAAUUCAGUUACAGUACGAAACUCAGGUAGUUCCAUCAGAUUCAGGACUGUCAGACACAGCCACCCAUGUUAUCAUGAUUCCAGUAAUAUUCAUGUUAGAAAUCAGUAAACUAUGUAUUAGUGUACAGAUCUAAUUGUCACGUAUUCACUUUUCUAGUUACUAUGUACGCAUGUUUACACUCUCACGUUCAUACCAGUCAGUCAGCUAACAUCGUUCAUGCAUGUAAACCCUUGUAUUUAGCCUACCUCACUCGUAUAAUCAGUACUCUCAGUUGUACUGAUGCAUUUGCUCUAUGGUGCUUUCUUUUAUGUUACAUCAUAGGUUCAUAAACAUGAGUUCCAGAUCAGCAGUAGCAGUAGCAUUACAGUCGCAGAGUUGCAGUGAGUCCUCAUCCAUUUGAGGACGAUAUUAUUUUACUUUAUUUAUUAUUUUAGUUUAGUUUUACUGGACGAAGUUAGUUGGAGACAUGUUCCUUCAACUCUUUAUUCAGACAAUAUUUAGAGGCUUUCAGAUUUAGCUUAGAUUUGAUUCAAAUUUCAGUUGUUUUGGGUAUUCGUUACCCUAUAUGGAUGUUAUGAUUUGUCGGAUAUUUUGUUCAGUUGAACCUUAUGCCCUAUUUUUAUGUUUUCCACAUUAUUACGUCAUAUAUUGCAAUAUACAGGUACAAAUAUCAGUCAUGGGUUAGCUUGUGGUCCCUCGGGAUCAUUGGCACCGUGUAGUGAUCCGGUUCAGAAAACCGAGGUAUUACAAUAUACAUUUAACAGAUUGAUACAUAUACAUUAAGAUAAAAUAUAUCACUAAUUGAUACAUAUACAUUUAGCUAAAAAGUAUGAAAAAAAUCUAUAGCAUAGGUUUAAUUUUAUUCAUUUGAUAGUUUUAAAUCUUUUUAGGUCUAUCAAGAUAACAAUUGAAUAUGAUAAUACAAAAAAAAACUUUCAUAUGUCGUAACAAAAAACUUGAUGUCAUCGGUAUCAGACUUGAAGAGUGAUUUCUUCUAAUUUAUUUUAGUAACAUCUACAGCUUUCAUCUCCGACUGAGGCUGAUUUGGCGCAUCAUCUUCAAUAUUCUUAUCAUUGUCUAAUGACACUUAUGAUGAGCUUAAGAGUUUUUACCUUUUAGACAAUGAAAAUUUAUUUUUGAAUCUUAGAAACAAUGGUUGUAGAUUUUUCAAGAGACCAUCUGUUUUUGCCUCUUCAGUUAGAGAGUGGUGGAAGAACCGACAUACCUCUUGAUUUUUUGAUCAAUUCUUUUGUUGAUAGCGUACUAAAAUAUUCAAAAUCAUCAUGAGCUAAUGCAACAAAAUCAUCUUGUUCUUGUAGCUUUCUUGAAUGUACUGCAGGUACAGAUGAAGCUCCUAAAUCAAUGAAAUCAACACUCAACGGGUUGGACAAGUCAAGUUCAAUUAAUUUUUAUGGUUUUGGAGAUAUAUUGUUGUACACAUAUUGUAACAAAAAUAAUAUAUUAUAUUAAAAAAAUAUCAAUUCAGCUAUUUUAUAACCUCACAAAAAAAGUUAGAAUGAAAUUAUUAAUAAUAUAAAUAUUAUACAAUUCUAACACCUCACUAAACAUGUCGGCCAUCAUAUCCUCAUAUCUUAGCUUGGGCUUAACUACAGACCAAUCAACAAUCUCAGAAUUAAAUUGUUCUUCUGAAUGACCAGUUUUUUAUGAACUUUAGAACAACAUUAGUACCAUCAAAUUUGAAUUGCAUAUGACAUGUCAUUUAAUUUGUAAUAUUGCUUAGUUUGGUUCAUGUCUUUGCUGAAUGAUUUGAUAAGAAAUGAAAAAGUUAAUUUUUCUCAUGAAAAUCGAUUAUAGCUUUCAUCCUCAAUCAUGUAAAAAUCGCUCACUGAAAUAUUGAUAGUGCCCAAUUAAGAGAAAAUGAAUGUGUGGAUGAAGUAUAAGAUCCCAAUUUUGACCCCAUCUUAAAUAUUGUUAUCUCAUUUUCUAUUUUCAAAGUAGCUAACCAACUCACGUUUCUUCACAUUUGUGGAGCUUUCUGAAAGAUAUUUUCUCUGAAAUCUACAAGGAGGGUGAUUAGAGUAGUUGAAAUCGUCUUCAUUACCAGUGUAAUUCAACUCGAUGGCAAUAGAAAACUCAUAAAUUGAAAAUCGGAGGAUGGUAUUGUUAAUAUAUAUCCUUAUCUGAUCAGGAUAAUUAUGUUUUCCCUCUAAGAUCAUUAAACACCUAGCAAUUGUUCUUAAAAGUUGUAUUUAGGUAUUCUGAGAUAUGGUCCAAAAUAGGUACGACAAAAUAUUCUACAUUCUUCAUCCUUCAGGCCAUUCUUGGACUUUAAAACAAUCUUUUGAUUAUGUAUGCUAUAGUACCUUAAAUUAUCUGAUGUCCUCAUAUUGACAACCAAGCUAAAAUUCUCUAUAAUUAUCAAAUUAAAUAAAUUAGGUUGGUCACAUAACAUUAUACUAUACUCUAAUAUGUAUCAAGGUAAAAUACUAUAUGUAUCAAGGUAAAAUAUUAUAUGUAUCAAGGCCAAAUACAGUGACACAAAACAGAUAAAUCAAACAUAUAUAUCAAAAUGGAUAAAAAAUAUGUAUAUUAGGUUAACACAUGACAGUGAAACCCUUCUAUCAUAAUGUUUCAAAUGUAUCAAAAUAUGCAAAUCAUAAAUUCACAUAACAGACUUGAAAUAUAUCAAAUCUAACAAAAGCAAUAAAUAUCAAUACGACAUAUAUAUUAUUAAAAAUAAUUAAUAGGGAUAACAAUGUAUCAAACGUAUCAGCUAACAAAAGUAUCAAAAAUAUUCAGAUCUUAGCAAACUAUCAUAUGUAUCAAUAGAAAAUUGUAAAUUUUUCUUACCACGUUCGACGAGAAAUUGUACAUCUCUUCUGUAUCGCCCUCCUUACUGCUUUGCAUGUUUGCUUUCUCAGUUCGAGCUAUGUAAUCUUCUUGUAGAGUCUCCAUCUUUGAGGGGUCAUUGCGGUGUUUUGAUCUAUUUUCAUAAAAAAAAUUCAAAAAUAUUAUUAAAAAUACCCAAAAUAAAAUCCACCACUUGAAGAACUAACAAUGUUCUUAUCAAUUUGGGUAACACCCAAACUAAAUGAUGAUAAAUCAUCGAAAUUCAUAAAAAUUAAAAAUAAAUACAAUAAAUGUGUUUUAAAACUAAGAUAAAGUAAUCUUUCUUAAAAUUAACUUUGACAUUUCACUCACCUCUCGAAAAAAUAAGAUUUUUUUUUAAUAAAUUAACUUGAAUGUCAUUUGCAGUAGUUGAAUAAUGGAGAUAAGUGAUUGAAAUUCAUAAUUGGAGAGAAGUUACCAAUUAUUUUGGGGUGAGAAAUUUAAUGAAAUGGAGAGAUUUGGGGUUGAAAAGUAGGAGAUUGUGCAAUUUUUAUAGAGAAAAGAUAUGUAUCAAGGGUAGAUAUCUAAAAAGUGAUAUAUUAUGAAUAAUUUAAGUAAAACUUACAUAAAUCCCACCUAAUCUAUCCAUAUUUACAACUUAUUCCGAUUUUUUCAAAAUCUCAUAAAUUAUUUUUUUUUUAAAUACAUAAAAUUCAGAGAGAUAACGUAAUACUCCUGACUUAUCCUAUCUCAAUUCAGCUCUUACUUGCAUGCUUAAGGGGUAUAAGGCUUGAAAUUUUCACUAAGUGUUGGGGACUUAUUCAUUUUCAAGACCCCUAAACUUUGAGGAUUUUUAUUUUGAUCUUUCCGACCCAGAGAUGUUAGUUUUUGAGUUAAUUCAUGUUCAAAGAAGUAAGAAGUAUAUCUCAGAGAAGUUUUGGAUUUUUUGGACGAGGAUUGAGUCACUUUUGGAUUUUGAUUCCACAACCUCACCGCGAUAGUGGUGUGCCGCGAUGUUUUUAUCCAGUUCUUGAUUUAUAAUUUGAAUUCAUGUGUAAUAAUUUUUAUAAUAGUGUGUGACGUGCUUAUUAGGUGAAAAGUGUUCAUAGAAAUUACUUAGAGCAAUGUUGAGCUAAGAGCCUUUGAUUCGUCCCAAGUUUGGUAUUUGAUUCUACAAGGGUCAACUUUAAAUUUGUAUAAAUUUUGAUAUACAUAAAAAUUUUCAUCUCAAGACCCACCAAAUUGUAGAUAAUUGAAUUAGCUUUCCAGCAAUACCACUUUCGCCUUAAUCUGAUACUCGAGCGAAAAGUUAUGAUCAUUUUUUUCAGAAUCAGUAAUCCACCGCUAUUAGACCGUGUCGCGAUGAACCUUUAAUCGGUAUUCUAGUUACGAAUUUUUAGUUUAAAUGAUAGAAGGGCAAUUGGAUCUUUUCUCACCUUAACCAAAUUUGUAAAAACACGACCUAAGGCUUCAGUUAGGGCAUUAGAUGCAUAUUCUUCAAAUUUCCUCUCAAGAACAAACCCUAAUCAUCUCCAAGUUCAUCCAUUACAUCAUCUUCUCUUCAAGAGAAACCAAGAAUUUAAGUUCCCUAAUCCAAAAAUUUCAAGAAAGCUUUCAAGAUCAUCUCCAUGGCUUUCAAGGUCAAGGUUUCUCCACCAAGUCAAGUCUAUUAAGGUAUUUUUAAAGUAUGUGAUUAUCAUGAGAUUUAAAGCUUAAGUUAUAUCAAGAAGUGCUUAUGUUUAUGUUUUUAACUUACAAGAUUUAUAUUAUGAAUGAGAUUGCACUAUCUUGACUUGUUAUUGUUCAAUUAUUUCAAGAAUUAUAUUGGGCAUGAAAUUUUGGUAUGAAUUAUCAUGAGUUUAAAGCAUGAAUUUUAAGACCUAAGUUUAAGUGUUGAGAUUUCAAGAAGAUUAUGCUUUUAAGCAUUCUAUGACAAGCUUAUAUUUUAAAGCAAGAAUAGAUCUUUUGAUCCCCAGUAAAGAUUAUGAAAUCCACAUUAUUCAGACUGUUUAUGAUUUAAAGUAAAGAGAAGCAUAAUUGGUUUUUUUCAUUAUAUAAAACAUUAUGCUAUUUUAAGGUGUAUUUCCUAUUGUACGAGCGUACAGAUAAUAUGGGAGUAGUAUUUAGCACCGAGUUGGGUAUGAUUCCAAGGUAACAUGCCCCAGAAUUACGUGCCACCGUAGGUUUUAAUACUCAUAGUGGGUUUAAUAUAGUGAUCACUCUAGCUUAGGUUCUAUUCCGAUGGCAAGGGUAGAACAGCUCUCCCCAACGUGGAUAAGACGUUGGAUUCCUUGGUAGCUCACAUGGUUUAUGUCGGUUAGAAGAACCUCCCAAAAGAAAGAGUAAAAGCAAAGAUUUUAAAAACUAAGUGUUAUGGCUCACAAAGUUAUCUUUAUGCUUCAUUACUCAUGUUUACGAUUUUACACCUUUUGUUUUAUUCAAACCCAAGGUGAGUCAUUUACACUUAGCAUGCAUUAUUUGAAAGUCUAUGAGUAUAUUGAGUUAUUAUUUUACUUAUGCAUUCACCCUACAUAAUCAGUACAUUCUAGAAGUACUGAUCCAUAUAUAUUUCUAUAUGCUAUAUUGUCUCAUAAUGUAGUUACCAGUUGUAGUCCAUGCAUCAUAAUCAGACAGUGUGCAACUUUCGGUCAAUAGGUGAUGAGUCCUUUUGAUUCGAGGGCUCAUAGUUCGAGUAGCAUCUUAUUUUCUUCAUUCAGUCGUAUUGAUUAGGGAUAACUGGGGGUCAUGCCCCGGCUACCUAUAGUCAAUAUUAGUAAAGGUUACAUAGACAAUCAGUAUAGUUGAUGUAUUUAAUUUCAUUUUUCUUUUAUAUAACCAGAGUUGUAAUUAGUUUAUACAGUUUUGUAUUGAACCUACUUAGUAAGGACAUCUCUUCCGCUUAUUUCUUUCAGAUUAAUGUAUCUUAUUUAGUUACUCACGAGUUAUGCCAGUAUAAGGGUUAGCUUGGGAUCACUUGUGGUCUUAAGUAUCGUGUAACGUCCAGGGGGUAGUCUCGGGGAAUUACAUAAAAGUUCGAUGAUACAUUUUAAUAAACAACUAAAUCCCUGAAAUUAAUAAAUAUAAUAAAAAGUUACAGAUUUAAUGAGUAACUAUCUCUCCAAAUUUUUUAAUUAACAAUAAUAUAUUUCCUAAAAAAUUGUAUUUUGUCAAUAAUGGAAGUUUUUUGAAUUAUUAUUCUCCAUAUUCAGUUAGCUUAUUCCUUCAUGUAUUUAUUUUUCUUUCUGCAUCUGCAUUUUUUUUAUUAUCAACUAAUAGCAAUGAAUAUUUUGGUGUUAUUACGUCAUUCCGACAUUUGAAUUACUGAUGUUAAGUACGAGGGAUAUAAGAGUGAUGGCAUUGUAGUAUGCAAAUAAUUUUCACAUGAAAAAUUAAUUUCUAUCAUUACAACAAAACUUGAAAUUGAUGUAAGUAGGAAAAAAAUUGAAGCUAGAUACGUUAUUGAAGGUAGUUCAGCUCCAUUGUUGAUUCGUAAUGAUAUGGGGGCGAAAUUAUAUUUUGAGGUUAAGAAAUGUGUGCAAAGUUUUGAGAUGUAUUCACUAUGCAUCACAAUAAUCGAUAAAGUUGAAAUGAAGAUGUAGUUUGAGUGAGAAAUUAGAGCAGAUAUGUAUGUAGAGACCACUGAUACGAAAGGUCAAUCAUUGGAUCGUUCAUUCAAAUAUUUCAGUUCAAUCAGAUUUGAUCGACGUUAAGGGAAACAAAUAACUUCAGAUUGACAGAUUUCAGAUGUUAAGAUAGUUCAAAUCUACAUAGACAAAAAAAAACACUGAUUUCCAUUACGGCAAAGUAUGCAAUUGGUCAUUCUUUCAAUUUUAGAGCGAAAAUAUCCAAAAAAAAAAAAAAGGUAUGUAUUUUGUGUUGCAAUUAUUAAAAAUUAUUGUGUAUUUUAUGUUUUGUCAUUAUGUAUUUCUAGUUUUACAUUGUCAUGCUAAAAUGAUGUAAGUAUUUGGGACAAAGUUCGUUUAAUAUGUUAAGCUUUAUGUAUUUCAUGUUAUGAUAUACAUAUUUAAUGUAUCUCAUGUUUGUAUUUAUCUGAAGAUACAUUUUUUAAUUAUGUUAGUGGUAAGAGAGACAUAAUUAUCUAGUAUAUGUGUAUGGGCAUAUGUAAUUUAAUUUUUUUAAAUGAUAUUAUAUAUUAUUAUUGUCGAAGUAAGCAGAUUAAAAAAGUGUUAAUGUCAUAUAGAAUUUGUUGCAGUGCAUUAAUUAAUAAUAAAUUUGAAUAUAUAUAUAUUAUGUUGAUCUGGAGAAUCUUGUUUUUGUUUGUUUGUAGUUACAUACUAAAAUGUUUUUCAGUGGAUUGUAGUUGGGUUUUUAGGGCUUCUUGUUGAAAGGGUAUGUAAAAAUGUUUUAUGAUUUUCACACAUGCCCUUUGAAGAUAGAUUGUUCACAUAGGUUCAAGCAAUGAUCACAUUUGUUAGUGAUUUUACAACUCUGAAAUUAGUCAAUCACAAGAGAAAACACACACAAAAUGACAUAAUUGAAGAUAUUAAAGCUUUUUUUGGUGUCAACAUUAAUUAUCAGAAAGCAUGGAGGGUAAAAAAAGUGCAGUUGAGAUGUUAAGGCGAACAUCUGCAGUUGAUUAUCGUCAAAUUUCUAGAUACAUAUAUAUGCUAAAUUCAGUGUAAUGAAACAUGUAUCUUGUUUUGUGAAAGUGUAUCUCGCAUAACUUUGUGACUAUAAUAUAAUGUAUCUCUUAUAUGUUAUUAUAUGUAUCUUUUUUGGCAAAUAUGUAUUUUAUAUAAGAUAAGGAGCAAUUCUUUUAAUUUGUAUCUCGCAGAUGUGGAGUUUAGGAUUAUGUAUGUUAAGACAUAUAUUUCGCAUAAAAUGUAUAUCAUACAGUCGUAUGUUGUUUAAAUUAUAAACACGUAUAAUUAUCUAAUCUCAUAUAAAAUGUAUCUGAUAUAUUUGUUACAAAUGUUGUUUAGUAUCAGGUAUAUUAUAUUGCAAUUGCACAUACACCUCUGUUACUGAUUAUAACAUACAUAUACAUGUACAACAGUCUAAACAUCAAAUUUUUUAUUUAUCUGUCCAAAUCUUUUAGGAUGUAUCUCUCAUAACUUUUUGAAUGUAAUAUAACGUAUCUCUUAUAUGUUAUUAUAUGUAUCAUUUUUUUUCCUAAUAUGUAUUCUAUAUAAGAUAAUGAAAAAUUAUUUUAAUUUGUAUCUCUUAGAUAUGCAGUUUUGGAUUAUGUAUGUUAACACAUGUAUCUCACAUAAAAUGUAUCUCAUACAGUCGUAUGUUAUUUAAAUUAUAAACACGUAUAAUUGUUUAAUCUUAUAUAAAAUGUAUCUAUAAUCUGUUACAAAUGUUGUUUAGUAUUAGGUAUAUUAUAUGACAGUUGCACAUACACCUUUGUUACUGAUUAUAACAUAUAUAUACAUGUACAACGGUCUAAAUAUCAAACUUCAAAUUGAAGUAGUGAUUACAUACAAUUAUUCUGUAAAAUAAUUGAAAUUUCAUGAAAACAUAAAUCAAAAACUCAACAUGAGUACUUCAACAAUUAUACUUGUUAAACUAACAUGCAAUUCAAACAAAAUGUAAAACUUAAAAUAUAGUAAAACAUAAAAUUUCAUCCAAAAUAAUUAAUUAAAAAACAACAUUAAAUGACCAUGUCUUCGCAUAAGUUGUCAGUCUUGUUUUUCUAGAAAAAGCAAGAGACUAAUUAAAAGUUAAUCAACAUAAACACAGACACAUCUACUCAACACUAAUAACUUUUCCUGGAACUGAUCUUACGAGGGUUGCUUUAGGCCUCGGUGGAUCUUCAUUAUCACUAAAGUAGUUGUUCUCUGCCUCAUCCAUUUCAUACUUUCAUAAUAGGGAUACAUAUCUCAAAUGAUUGUAUUCGACAAUAAUAUCAGAACAUGAUACACUAACCCCUCACUCAAAAACUCUGAAAACACAACAACAAAUAAUCCACAAUCCCUGCAAUUUUAUUAUUUUUUUAAUCAAUAUAGUUACUUAUUAUUGAAAUGCAAGAAGGAAAUUGAAAAAUAAAUAAAAAUAUACUUACAAGAUGCCGCUAUAUGUUGUUGUGCAAUUUCAGAAACAUACUCCACUUCAAAUAGGUCCUUUUCAGUCUUGUCUUUAUACGAUUCAAGCGAUAUCCAAUCUAUUGUAACUCUUUGAUUAAGAAAGUUUCUAUACAUGAGGCAAUUCUUUUUUGUCAUCAGAGCCUCCUUUCGUCUUUGCUUUAAGUGCUUUCUUUAAUUUCUUCAUCGUAAUGAAAUUGCUGCUGUUUUUUAUCAAUUUUCGCUCAACACUUCAAAUCACACAACUUUCAACAACAAUGAAAAUAAACUAAUUUGAAAAAAAAUGAGGUUGAAAGUUUAUUGUGGAUGAAUCAAUCCGCAGUAAAUUUUCAACCUCAUUUUUUCAACAACAAAGACAGUUUACUGUGUCUCAUCUCAAGAAAUUAUUGAAU
rnacentral:lncRNA from 1 species